GGCAGCGCGUUCCGCACGCUGUAUGGAAGUACCUUUCUCUUCCCCUUAAAUUCCGCCUGACUUUUCGGCUGUAUUUCAUAAGUGUUAAUGUAAUGUUGCUGAAAGGAAAUAUGGCCAAGGCAGGAAACUUUCCCCCCACUCUCUGGGAUGCAGCUGUUCGUUUGGUUUGGGUUGUUAAUUCAAAACACUCCCAGGUGCCUAUUUCAUAUUAUCUCUUGUUUAGAACAAAAUAAAAUGAAACUGUCAAAACCUUUCUGCCUCGCUGGGGCCUGGGCUCAACAGCCGGGUAAAGAGACCAGGGCAAGGAAGCAACUGCCCACUCCCCUUUUCUCAUGUGCUUCCUGAGUGCUCGAGUCAUUGGCCCCACACAGACGUCUCUGGUGGAUGGGGCAGGAUGCUCCCCAAACUUCAGCAGUUCCUGCAAUCAGGAAGACUGCUGCUGCUGCUGCUGCUAAGUCGCUUCAUUCGUGUCCGACUCUGUGUGACCCCAUAGACGGCAGCCCACCAGGCUCCCCCGUCCCUGGGAUUCUCCAGG
ensembl:lncRNA